rnacentral:rRNA from 1 species
AGUGAACGCUGGCGGUAGGCCUAACACAUGCAAGUCGAACGGCAGCACAGUAAGAGCUUGCUCUUACGGGUGGCGAGUGGCGGACGGGUGAGGAAUACAUCGGAAUCUACUUUUUCGUGGGGGAUAACGUAGGGAAACUUACGCUAAUACCGCAUACGACCUACGGGUGAAAGCAGGGGAUCUUCGGACCUUGCGCGAUUGAAUGAGCCGAUGUCGGAUUAGCUAGUUGGGGGGGUAAAGGCCCACCAAGGCGACGAUCCGUAGCUGGUCUGAGAGGAGGAUGAGCCGCAGGGGAGCGUGAACGGCCACCUGGCGCCUGAGAGACGCACCAGUGGGGUAUGGGGGACAAUGGUGGCGAGUUUUGCACAAUCUGCGGGAGUGGGAGAAAAAGACCCUGGGGUUGUAAAGCCGUCCUGUGGGUAAAAAAAAGCUGUAGACUGUUACCCAGCGGGUCUGACGGUACUGGAUAAAGAAGCACCGGCUAACUACGUG